UUGGCAACAUGUAUUUGGCACAUGAAAGUACUGGCCAGACAGGUUGGGAUGUGCAUCUGUGGGUGAUUGUCAGCACACUUGGAUCCUUUCCCUCACCUGAGUCAGAAGGCUUUGCGGGCAGAGCCACCUUCUCAGGCAUCCGGAGGCUACCAGGCAAGUUGGAGAGCUGCCCCUGUCCCUCUGAACUGACUGUCCACAUUAGAGGGUGGGAUCGCCCACCUCUGCCCCCAGGCCAGGCUCACACCUUGAGACCUACGUUCUCAAACCCAAGUGAGACCUCAGACAGGUGAACGCAAUCAUUUUGAAACACCCUGCAGAUUCCAAGCGGGGCAAAGAAAUGCAACUUUUUCCCACGUUCUGUUCGGUCAACGAGGAUAGAGGGAUAGAAACAAGGAGAGGAAAACCUCAAGGAACAGGCCCAAUCCAACCGAGGGUGCUUCGUGAUUUCUUUUAACCAUCAUGUUAAAGUGGCUCUGUUUGUU